ACUCAAAGGAAUAGACGGGACCCCGCACAAGCAGCGGAGCGUGUGGUUUAAUUCGAUGAUACACGAAGAACCUUACCUGGGUUUGACAUGCAAGUGGUAGGAAACUGAAAGGGGACCGACCCUUCGGGGAGCUUGCACAGGUGCUGCAUGGCUGUCGUCAGCUCGUGUCGUGAGAUGUUCGGUUAAGUCCGCUAACGAGCGCAACCCUCGCCGUGUGUUACAAGUGUCACACGGGACCGCCGACGUCAAGUCGGAGGAAGGUGGGGAUGAUGUCAAGUCAGCAUGGCCUUUAUAUCCAGGGCUACACACACGCUACAAUGGUCAACACAAUAGGUUGCGAAACCGCGAGGUGGAGCCAAUCCCCAAAGUUGGCCUCAGUUCAGAUUGCAGGCUGCAACUCGCCUGCAUGAAGAUGGAGUUGCUAGUAACCGCAGGUCAGCACUACUGCGGUGAAUACGUUCCCGGGGUUUGUACACACCGCCCGU
rnacentral:rRNA from 1 species